GACGAACGCUGGCGGCGUGCUUAACACAUGCAAGUCGAACGGAAAGGCCCUGCUUUUGUGGGGUGCCCGAGUGGCGAACGGGUGAGUAACACGUGAGUAACCUGCCCUUGACUUUGGGAUAACUUCAGGAAACUGGGGCUAAUACCGGAUAGGAGCUCCCGCUGCAUGGUGGGGGUUGGAAAGUUUCGGCGGUUGGGGAUGGACUCGCGGCUUAUGAGCUUGUUGGUGGGGUAGUGGCUUACCAAGGCUUUGACGGGUAGCCGGCCUGAGAGGGUGACCGGCCACAUUGGGACUGAGGUACGGCCCAGACUGCUACGGGAGGCAGCAGUGGGAAAUAUUGCACAAUGGGCGGAAGCCUGAUGCAGCAACGCCGCGUGCGGGAUGACGGCCUUCGGGUUGUAAACCGCUUUCGCCUGUGACGAAGCGUGAGUGACGGUAAUGGGUAAAGAAGCACCGGCUAACUACGUG
rnacentral:rRNA from 1 species